AGGGGCUUGGUGUCAAUGGCAGCACGAUGGUCUCCAAAACCACAAGUGUGGGUUCGAAUCCUACAGCCCCUGCCA
rnacentral:tRNA from 1 species